AGUCAAUGGAAUUGGCAGUCAAGAGAAGUUUAACUGAAUCUCUGAGUGGCAAGAGUCAGGAGAGGUUUAACUGAAUAUAGAAGGAGAAGAAGUAUUUACAUUAGAAGUCUGAUUCACAGGUCGGGGCAAAGUGAAAAACAUCUGCACUUUUAAAAGAGAGGUCAAAAGUCCGUCUGACUCACCUGUGCUGAGUGACUUGAAUGCCAUCUAAUCUAACUUCAAGGUCACAGUGUUUGGACACCGCAUGAACAUGCCAAUUUCCUGUGUUGUAAUAUUUUUAUGCACUUUAAGAAGACCACCAGAAACAGCAGAGUGAGUGAAUGACUGAGGCGCAUAUUGGACAAAAAUCACUUAUCCAAGACCACGUUACUACAACCCCAGGGCACAGAAGCUAAGUCUUCCUAUUGUACUGAACUCAGUUGACUGGAAUUUGUUCAGGAAAGCAUGAAGUCAAAUGGAAGCUAGUCCGUGACUGGAUUCAUCUUUUGGUAAAAAACGAAGAGGAGACCCCAUAUCCUGGAGGUUCUUGCUUAACCCUGUCCCUAAUAAGACCUAACUUUAUGAGUCUUCUCCUUAGAGGCAGUCCUAGGGUAAGAGUGAUUAUUCCUGUGAGCCUUGUAGGUACUUUCGAAUCAAGGAAAUUAGUAGUUGAUUGCUAAUUAAUUCAGUAUUUAAUGAAUUUAAGUACCUAGGCAAUGAGGCCACAAUAGCAAAUAAGACACAGACCUGUUUUCAAAAAGUAGCCUGUAAAUAAGAUAUUUUUUUCUGCCAUGGUGGCAAAGGCAUGACUAUGGUGAUGAACAUUCAUAGGCUCACCUUCUAGCUCUGUUGUAUGUUAACUGUGUGAACUUGGGUCAAGUUAUGAAAACUCUAAGAACUCUCAAAACUCCUGAUCUGUUUUAACAUGAAAGUAAAGAUAUCUAAUUGAAUUGUUGUGAAACUUAAAUGUAAUGUGACAUCCAAAGAAUGUAGCCCAAAGUUGGAUUUCAGUAAGUGAUAAAUAGAAGUAUUUAAACAUGGGUAUGGUAUGUUCUGUAACAGAAGAAUGUCUAUGUGCUGGGGAUACCUAGAGACAGUGAAAAUUCUGUCUGGCCUGCGAAUUAUAAUAAAAUGACUCUUUAAAGUCAA
rnacentral:lncRNA from 1 species